UCCGAAGGGUGCAAGCGUUGCUCGGAAUCAUUGGGCGUAAAGCGCACGUAGGCGGCUCUGCAAGUCGGAUGUGAAAUCCCUCGGCUCAACCGAGGACGUGCAUCCGAAACUGCGGAGCUUGAGUAUGGAAGAGGGUCGCGGAAUCCCCGGUGUAGAGGUGAAAUUCGUAGAUAUCGGGGGGAACACCAGUGGCGAAGGCGGCGACCUGGGCCAAUACUGACGCUGAGGUGCGAAAGCGUGGGGAGCAAACAGG
rnacentral:rRNA from 1 species